AGGCUUCUGUAACUUAUAAAAUGGCGGCGUCCACAUGUAUACGUCCUUCCCGGGAUUAGCCAGGCAGCUAGAGGAUGACUUAAUAAGGAGAGUGGAGAAACUGGCCAAUUAAUGAACAUGCCCUGAUCAUUAAUCCACCACUGAAGGAAGUCAGAGCAGAAACUCAAGCAGGGACUUGAAGAAGAAACCAUGGAGGAAUACGGCUUGCUGGCUCACCUGUCCCUUUCUACUCCACGUGCUAUCCAGAUUUACCUAAACCACCAUGCAACACACAAGCACUAUCCCUCUGAUGUGUGAAGUCAGAUACCAGCCUCUGAUUCAGAGACUGCCACCCAAUAAUGAGUUGUAAUUCAGCAGGAUGUGGCCAGAAUGAUCUCAGUGCCACCUACGCCCCUAACACCACCUUUUCUAUAAAAUAUGUCCCUCUGUUCCUUUUACCUAAACGAAGAAGCUGAAAGCAAAAGAGGCUGAAAACCUUCUGUCCCAUUAGUGAGGAGUGUGUCCUUUUCAGAGAGCAAAGCCCUAAACAGAGAGAGCUGUGGGCAAGGACUCACUCAGCAGCUUCCCAGGCACCCAGGGCCUAGAAGCCACUGAGCAGUGACUCACCACAGAAGUCACUAUGCUCAUUGUCCUGCAGAAUUUUCCAGCUGUCCCUUUAUCUCAAAAUGUAUUUGGGAUUUUUUUUUAAGCACCCGCACCAGCCCAAACUACAAAGUUUAAAGCGCCCUUUAACCCAAUUUGGUAAUGUCAAUCAACUUGGGGCCGUCUUGCAGUACACAUCCCCCUCACUACAGGACCAUUAACACCCUUUGCUUUCUGUGGCUGGCCUAAAGCAUUACCUUAGACUAUGCAUACUGUGCCAUUGGGAAGGACAUUCUGACUUGGCGCCUCCUUUGACAUCCCUGCCCCCUCAAUGAUGGGGUAGCUGAGUAAAUUUGUUGAAAUAAAACAAGAUAGCUUGCUGCAUC
rnacentral:lncRNA from 1 species